rnacentral:misc_RNA from 1 species
AACGGUCUAUACCUGCGGUACCUGCGGAGGGAUCAUUAACAAUUGUCCAUAAUGGAUAAUUUUAUCCAUAUCCACCUUGUGUGAAUCAUUGGAAUGUUUGUUGGCAGGUUUUAGACUCUCUCUGAGAGAGCUGUGAGGGUUGGUAUUGUUCUUUCAAUGCUUGACCGGCCUGCCAAUUUUAUUUUAUAUGUAAACUUGUCUAAAAUACUUUUGGUCUGAAAUAAAUAAAUUUGUAAUAAA